AUUGCUGUCUGACAUAAUGAGUUUCUAACGUGUAUAUAUUAUACCACAUUAUUUUUUUUCUCGGUAGCUGAAAUGGUAGCAUCAUACGGUCAAAAGCGAUUCUAGUCACCAAGAAUCAUUUAAGUGUGUGGAGUGAUACCCGCGCGGCCAGUCAUAUGUCUCCCUGCUCUCCAUGUUCUUACGCCUACGACACGACUUACUACAACAACUAAAACCUUAUGAAAAAAUGUGCCGAAGAACUAGUUGCCCAAGGAGAAGUUGGAGAUCAAGCAAGCCCUCUCGA